rnacentral:rRNA from 1 species
ACAAUGGCAGGUACAGAGGGAUGCUACCGGGCGACCGGAUGCGGAUCUCGAAAGCCUGUCCCAGCUCGGACUGGAGUCUGCAACCCGACUCCACGAAGUUGGAUUCGCUAGUAAUCGCGCAUCAGCCAUGGCGCGGUGAAUACGUUCCCGGGCCUUGUACACACCGCCCGUCAAGCCAUGGGAGCCGGGGGCGCCUGAAGUCCGGGACCGCGAGGACCGGCCUAGGGCGAAACUGGUAACUGGGGCUAAGUCGUAACAAGGUAAC